rnacentral:rRNA from 1 species
GAUCCUGGCUCAGGAUGAACGCUGGCGGCGCGCCUAACACAUGCAAGUCGAACGAGAGAUGAGGAGCUUGCUCUUCAAAUCGAGUGGCGGACGGGUGAGUAACGCGUGAGGAACCUGCCUCAAAGAGGGGGACAACAGUUGGAAACGACUGCUAAUACCGCAUAAGCCCACGGCUCGGCACCGAGCAGAGGGAAAAGGAGUGAUCCGCUUUGAGAUGGCCUCGCGUCCGAUUAG